UUAAUGCUCCUUUUGUCCGAAAUUACUUGUCAUCAAACUAGAUGAAAAUUGAUGUAUCUACAACUAAGAUACAUCUAGAUAUAUCCAUUUUAAUGACAAGUAUUUUCGGGCGGAGGGAGUACAUG
rfam:Triticum aestivum genome assembly, contig: Triticum_aestivum_CS42_TGACv1_scaffold_309989_4AS